CCUACGGGUGGCAGCAGUGGGGAAUAUUGGACAAUGGGCGAAAGCCUGAUCCAGCCAUGCCGCGUGUGUGAAGAAGGCCUUCGGGUUGUAAAGCACUUUCAGUGGGGAAGAAAGCCUUGGGGCUAAUACCCUCGAGGAAGGACAUCACCCACAGAAGAAGCACCGGCUAACUCCGUGCCAGCAGCCGCGGUAAUACGGAGGGUGCGAGCGUUAAUCGGAAUUACUGGGCGUAAAGCGCGCGCAGGCGGUCUGAUAAGCCGGUUGUGAAAGCCCCGGGCUCAACCUGGGAACGGCAUCCGGAACUGUCAGGCUAGAGUGCAGGAGAGGAAGGUAGAAUUCCCGGUGUAGCGGUGAAAUGCGUAGAGAUCGGGAGGAAAACCAGUGGCGAAGGCGGCCUUCUGGACUAACACUGACGCUGAGGUGCGAAAGCGUGGGUAGCAAACAGGAUUAGAUACCCCAGUAGUC
rnacentral:rRNA from 1 species